UAUAAUCUGCCACCGGGUAGAGGUUGCAUAAAAGCAUCCGUCAAUACAUCGUUAGGUCUUAGAAGGUGUAUUUUCGGAUGCUUUUAUGUG
rnacentral:ncRNA from 1 species